rnacentral:rRNA from 1 species
UACAGAGGAUGCAAGCGUUAUCCGGAAUGAUUGGGCGUAAAGCGUCCGCAGGUGGCAAUGUAAGUCUGCUGUUAAAGAGUCUAGCUCAACUAGAUAAAAGCAGUGGAAACUACAUAGCUAGAGUACGUUCGGGGCAGAGGGAAUUCCUGGUGUAGCGGUGAAAUGCGUAGAGAUCAGGAAGAACACCAGUGGCGAAGGCGCUCUGCUAGGCCGUAACUGACACUGAGGGACGAAAGCUAGGGGAGCGAAUGGG